UUGCUUCAUUCAACCAGCCCAGCAGAGAUUAACUGUAAACGCUGCAUCACGCAUCGUUUUCCUAUUAGGGUUUUCAUUUUUUUUUGUCUCCGCCAUUGAUAUCGAGACGGAACCAGAGUUCUGAGAGUUGUUUCAUCUUCUUCAUAACAAUCUCUACCGGUUCGUCCUCCUAAAGUCCUUCUUAAAUCUGUCUUGAAUCCGAGCUUACUCAUGCAAAGCGAUGGAAUUGCGAUUAUAGAAAGCUGCGUUGGUGAUGCUCUUCGUCUCUAGGCCAUGUGUUCUCUACCAACUCUUUCCCUAUAAUAUCAGCUAACUCAGUUACGCACGGGUAAAUCUCUUCCCCGUUAGUAAACAAUCUGAACUGAAACUCAUCCCCUUUCAUGAGCAGCGGCGGCGGCUCCAACCUAAGGUGUGUAUUGGCGUUAUUCAUAGCCCACUCAAGAUCUGCAAGCGGAUAGUUUUGAAGCAGAUGGGGAUUUCACAAGCUACAAAGAAGCUGUUACGAUGUGUUGACCUCACGUUCACAACAGGCGGCGGAGAGGGCUGAUGCUGCUGUAGUGGCGGAGGCUCAUCAGAACAGGUUCAAACCAAGGGACCAUAUCUCAGCAAAAUGAGAACUCUCAGAUGCAUAAUUUCGCUGGUGUUAGUGGUGCUCCUGUUGGUGAUAGUUUAGGACCUUCACGUCUCUCUCCGGCUGACUACUACGUCUUGAAACUUUAACAGGGCAUGUGAAUCAAAAUGAGGAUGAUAAAGCUGCGGCUCCGGAGGAUAAGAUGGUUGUGAAAGAGCCUGAGGUAGAAAAUAAACAGAACUGGAACCGGUGUUUGAAAAACAGAAGGAGAGGAAGCAGAAAGCUUUGAAGGAGAAAGAGAUGGAUAAUGUUGCAUACAAUGACUUCGAAACUUCUAUCAAGCAUUACUCCAAAAAGGCAUUAGGGAGAAACAGAAACAUGAAGAGUGAAUCGUUUAAAGAGGGAGACUGCUGAAACAGAGGAAUCACAUAGAAGAAUAAGAAGAAGAGAGUAAGAGAUCCAUGACAGAGCGUCAAGCUGCAGAGAGAGAGAAGCUGCUAGACUGAGAAUAAGGCAAGAAAAGGCACUUCAUCUUGACGGAUCUGAGAAAGGACCUGAUGCUACACAUGAGUCAACAGAAGUUUUUUUUUAUUCUUUAUCGAUGCUUGAAGAGGUAACCUUCAUCUCUCUCUCUCUCUAAAUAUAUGUAUGUAUAUAUUUGUCACUACAAUGUCUUACAAAUACAUUUAUCUGAUUUGUUGAAACAUUUGAUUUGUUCUGAACCUUGCGGGGAAUGGAGGCACAUAUUAUGUAGAAAAAGGGGAUCUUAUGAGUGUGCUCAUGCUUGAUGAAAAGAUUUCUCCUCAAGUUAUGAACAACUCAUGUGUAUCUUGCAAGUGUUCUCACAGAAUCAAGAUAUCUGGAAGCGAAAACUCAGCCGCAAGUGAUUAUGAUCCGCUGCAACAAGCACAUCCAUUGGAGACAACCACUGCACAUGUUCUGCCUCCUUGCGGUGGGAGCUCUGUUGAGGAGCUACUUGUUUUAGCAUUUGAGUGUUUGCUCAAAAAGGCUCACAAUACUUAACCGACCAAGUUAGAAAGAUUAGAAUCCUACUCUUUACUUGCAAUCCUUGAUUUCAUAUAUUAUGUGUGCAGAUUAUUCAUACAAUAAAAUCUUGCUUCACUUUA